rnacentral:rRNA from 1 species
UACGUAGGGCCCAAGCGUUAUCCGGAAUUAUUGGGCGUAAAGAGCGUGUAGGUGAUCGUACAAGUCGGUCGUUAAAUCUCACUGCCUAACAGUGAGGCCGCGAGCGAAACUGUACGAAUUGAGGUUUGCAGGGGCUAGCAGAAUUCCUGGAGUAGGGGUGAAAUCCGUUGAUACCAGGAGGAAUACCAAUGGCGAAGGCAGCUAGCUGGGCAAAACCUGACACUGAGACGCGAAAGCGUGGGGAGCAAACAGG